rnacentral:rRNA from 1 species
GAAUGCACGCUGGCGGCAGGCUUAACACAUGCAAGUCGAGCGGGGAGAGGUAGCUUGCUACCUGACCUAGCGGCGGACGGGUGAGUAAUGCUUAGGAAUCUGCCUAUUAGUGGGGGACAACAUUCCGAAAGGAAUGCUAAUACCGCAUACGCCCUACGGGGGAAAGCAGGGGAUCUUCGGACCUUGCGCUAAUAGAUGAGCCUAAGUCAGAUUAGCUAGUUGGUGGGGUAAAGGCCUACCAAGGCGACGAUCUGUAGCGGGUCUGAGAGGAUGAUCCGCCACACUGGGACUGAGACACGGCCCAGACUCCUACGGGAGGCAGCAGUGGGGAAUAUUGGACAAUGGGCGAAAGCCUGAUCCAGCCAUGCCGCGUGUGUGAAGAAGGCCUUUUGGUUGUAAAGCACUUUAAGCGAGGAGGAGGCUACCGAGAUUAAUACUCUUGGAUAGUGGACGUUACUCGCAGAAUAAGCACCGGCUAACUCUGUGCCAGCAGCCGCGGUAAUACAGAGGGUGCGAGCGUUAAUCGGAUUUACUGGGCGUAAAGCGUGCGUAGGCGGCUUUUUAAGUCGGAUGUGAAAUCCCUGAGCUUAACUUAGGAAUUGCAUUCGAUACUGGGAAGCUAGAGUAUGGGAGA